GCAAAAGCUCAAAUUUGAAAUCGGCGUUUGUCGAGUUGUAAUUUGUAGAUCCAAUUUUUGAGGCGACCUUGCUCAAGUUCUCUGGAACGAGACAUCAUGGAGGGUGAGAAUCCCGUGAUGCAGGGCCYCCGUCUCUUUGUAAAUUUGGGUCGACGAGUCGAGUUGUUUGGGAAUGCAGCUCUAAGUGGGUGGUAAAUUCCAUCUAAAGCUAAAUAUUUGCGAGAGACCGAUAGCGAACAAGUACUGUGAAGGAAAGAUGAAAAGAACUUUGAAAAGAGAGUGAAAUAGUAUGUGAAAUUGUUGAAAUGGAAGGGCUUUAGGUUAGACAUGGUGGUUGUGYUCCRCUCUCUCUUGGGAGGGUGUUCUCAUGACURCUGGGCUAGCAUCAGUUUUGGGUCGAGGAC
rnacentral:rRNA from 1 species